UACGGAGGGGGCUAGCGUUGCUCGGAAUGACUGGGCGUAAAGGGCGCGUAGGCGGUUUGUUUCGUUAGGCGUGAAAUUCCUGGGCUCAACCUGGGGACUGCGCUUAAGACAAGCAGACUGGAGUGUGAAAGAGGGUCGUGGAAUUCCCAGUGUAGAGGUGAAAUUCGUAGAUAUUGGGAAGAACACCGGUGGCGAAGGCGGCGACCUGGUUCAUUACUGACGCUGAGGCGCGAAAGCGUGGGGAGCAAACAGG
rnacentral:rRNA from 1 species